rnacentral:rRNA from 1 species
AAACCUACGGGUGGCUGCAGUGAGGAAUAUUGGUCAAUGGGCGCGAGCCUGAACCAGCCAAGUCGCGUGAGGGAAUAAGGUCCUAUGGAUUGUAAACCUCUUUUGUCGGGGAGCAAUGAGCGCCACGUGUGGUGCGUUGAGAGUACCCGAAGAAAAAGCAUCGGCUAACUCCGUGCCAGCAGCCGCGGUAAUACGGAGGAUGCGAGCGUUAUCCGGAUUUAUUGGGUUUAAAGGGUGCGUAGGCGGGGAGCCAAGUCAGCGGUAAAAUCGUGGGGCUCAACCCCAUCCCGCCGUUGAAACUGGUUUUCUUGAGUGGAUGAGAAGUAUGCGGAAUGCGUGGUGUAGCGGUGAAAUGCAUAGAUAUCACGCAGAACUCCGAUUGCGAAGGCAGCAUACCGGCAUCCAACUGACGCUGAAGCACGAAGGCGUGGGUAUCAAACAGGAUUAGAUACCCCGGUAGUC